GAAGUUAAUGCACCCACAGGUUAACUUGGAAAAUAUCACAAAACGUACUGCACGGUAGGAGAAUGGAUAGGGACUCUAAAAAUUAUAAAGGCGUUUUAGUGGACUUUUUAGUUAUCCUGCUGGCAGAGUCGGAUGAUCUUCGUGGUCCUGGUUGCUGGUUCUCAGUGAUGAUAGUGACAGAAUGAGGUUCAACGCAGCGCAACUGGCAUUGCUGGCCAGGGGGCAGCCAGGAAGUUUUGAUAGAGAAGGAAAGCUCAGAGUGUACCGCAUUCCUGCAAGCAAUUCCAACAAACCUCAAGAGAUUACUGAGAGAUGGUGUCGGCUGAAAGGGAACCUGCUCUUUUUAAUGAAAAAACAGAUCCAAAAGUCUGAGCCAGCCGAGGUUGUAGUCCUAGAACGGUGCCACAUUGUGGAGAGCAGAAAUGCUGCAUUAAGCAUCAAGUUUGAGAGCGGAGAGCCAGAUCUAUAUCUUGAAGCCUUCACUAAGUCGGACUGCAAAUCCUGGAUUGCAGCACUCCGAGAGGCAAACUCGGAAGGUUUGCAAAAAAGAAUUCAUCACCUUAGGCAGCUGAUCAUGGAGAUUAAGGGAAGCGAACCGGCAGACAGCCUAGGAGGUGAAGCACAGCAGGCUGGUGCAGCGAUGAUUCCAAAACCACCAAGGCUAGAGUUCAGUCUUGAGUGCAGGGAGCUUGCAGCAACAACCCGAGAGAGGAAGCCUAAUGCAGUUGUUCAGAUCUCUGUGAUAAACACACAGCAGCAAAGUUUGACUGUUUUCUCCAGCACGGAAAUAGUGGAGGGAACAAGAGACCCACUGUUCCUGACCGGUGUGACUUUCCCACCAGAAUACCCCAUCUGUGAUGGAACUCGGUUCAAGCUAACAGUCUAUGAUGUCAAGGAUAAAUCCCCAGAAAUUAGAAGCUUCCUGGGCUGCACAACAUUUUCAGUAGGUGACCUGGUAAAGUCCAAGGAUCAGCAGUUAACCCUCAGCCUGAGAACAUCAGAUGGUACCAACGCAGUGGGCAGCAUAGUGGUCAGCCAAUUGAAGAUGGGGGAGAUAGAGGAUGGAGAAGUGGACCAAAUUGCAACAGAUGCGCAGGGACAAAAGUGCACCUUCAUUUGUGAGUCUGCGUCACACGGAACCACAAAUGACGACAAAGACAAUAGCCAUUUGAUGAAUGCAGUAUUUAAAAACCCAGUCUGUAAAGUGUACAGAUUUCAGACUGUCGACAGCAAGUGGAUGUUCAUUCGAGAACAGAUGGCAGAAUGCACUCUAUCCUUUAACAUCCCCAAGCAGCUGAUGACACUUUACAUACAAGAAGACAUGAGGAGGAUACAGGAGUUGAAGGAGCUGGGGGAUCUCUCACCACACUGGGAUAAUCUUCGUAAAGACGUGAUUAAUCACUGUAGGCAGAUUAUUAGCAGCUACCAGGAAACCCUCACUGAAAUCAACAAGCUUACAGGCUCUUCUUUUAAACCAAGCAUCAGUAAAGCAGAGAAAUAUUUAGAAUUCAUCCCAAUUAAUCUCCACACGCAAAGAAUGAGGGUUAACUGCCCGAGGAAAACAGAUGCUGCUUACGAUGUCAUCACUGUUGGAGCCCCUGCGGCCCACUUUCAGGGAUUUAAAAAUGGAGGUCUUCAUAGGCUGCUGAGCAGAUUUGAAGCAGAAAAGAAAAACACAGCAUACCAGUGCAUCUACUAUUCACCUGAAAACACAUCUAAAGCAAAGGAGGUACUUACAAGCAUCAGCCUGCUGCAGCCCCUCAUCUCCAGCCUCGGUGACCAGCUGCUUCACUCUGCUCAGCAGCACUCCUCCGACAGCCUCAAGGAGGCUUUGAAGACACUUUCAGACAAAACGGAACAGUUUGUACACGUACUGAAAGACGAGUUGGUCAAGAACGCCCUGCUUGCACUCUACACAGCUCGACCUGGCUACGUCAGUAAGAUGAAUUCAGCGGUUUGUAACCAUGUUGACGAAAGCAACCCCACACCAAAGGAAGACUCCACCUCCACGCCACCUCCUCUGAAACGACAGGACUCCAUACCUCAUCAUUCUGAAUACGACGAGGAAGAGUGGGACAGGGUUUGGGUGAAUGUAGCAAUGAGCUUAAACUGCAUCAUUGCCAUGGUGGACAGGCUACUAGAGCAUGAAAAUAAUAAUCAGGAAGCAGGAGCGGAUCCUUCGCUAGCAGAUGUCAUCACUUCACACACCAACGGUGACUGGCAUGAGCAGCUCUACCCUCUGGUGGUGACACUGAAGGACUGCGUCAAUGAAGUCGUUCAUCGAGCCAGAAAGUCUAUGGCAUUUGUUUUGCUGCAGGAAGCGGCAUGCAGCAUUCCUCAAGGCCUUUUCCUAAAGCAGAGGAGAGAUGUGGUCUUUAGUCAAGCACUUGCAGCUGUUGCCUGCGGGUUUGUGAUGAGAUUGUACACGGGUCUUGAUGAUAAAGGCUUCCUGCAGCAGCUUCACACGGUUGGACUUAUAGCACAGUUUGAAAGCCUUCUAAGUACAUACAGCGACGAGGUUGGGAUGCUGGAGGAUAUGGAGGUUGGCAUUUCAGAUUUGCGGAGAGUGACAUUUAGAAUUGCUGAAGCCAAAUCUGAUGAACCCAGUGAUCUGCAGCCCAUUGUGACUGGAAGGCGGGACUAUUAUACUGUUGAAGUGCCAUUACCACGAGAGGUGUUUGAGGGACUACCAGAUGAGAUCAAAGAAGGCAAGCCAUUACAUGUGUAUCCAGUACUCUUUAAUAUUGGCAUAAAUCAGCAGCAGACACUGGCAGAGAGGUUUGGAGACAUCUCUUUACAAGAAAGAAUCAACCAGGAAAACUUUCAGAUUUUAAAUGAAUAUUACAGAAUAUUAAGUGAAAAAGUGCCACUGGAAUGUUUACCUAGAUUUCAAACUCAAACAGACUUGAAAGAAUUACUUGAAAUCCUCCAUCAGAACAUUCAGAUAAAGAAGAGGAAGAAUGUGGAAAUACUGUGGCUUGCAGGAACAAUUUGCCGCAGGAUGAAUGGAAUCCGCUUUACCAGCUGUAAAAGUGCCAAAGACAGAACGUCCAUGUCCGUCACGCUGGAGCAGUGUGCGCUGCUGAGGGACGAACAUGAGCUGAGCAAGGACUAUUUCAUCCGAGCGCUGGACUGCAUGCGUAGUAGAUACACCCAGGGAGGCUUGAGUGAGUGGGAGGACCCUGAGGCUGCUUCUGUAGCUGAUAACAAGUCAACUUCCCGCCACUUCUAUCCUAUCGCUCUCCUGCUUGUCAGCUCCCACUUGCUGGUUGUGUGGCUGAUUUUAAGUCUUGCUUUACUCCUUGCCAAGUAUCAAUGAAUUAUAUCUUGUUUAUGCUUACAAUGCGGCAUUUAUUUUAAAUUGUGCUUAUUUUACAAUAGAAAAUAAACUAUUUAAUUUUGUAAUUCAACCUUGGAAUUUGUCUGAUUUAGUUAUUUUAUUAUUGUUUGUUAAAUUAUUGGAUAAUAACCACAAGCAUGGACAAAUAUUAUAUUUGUCAGCUUACCAAAAUGGAUUGCACACAUAGCUUGUAAAUAUGUCAACCACACAAUUGAAAUAAUGUGGCUUUAUUUUCUUCUGUCUUUAAAAGAAUGCAAAGUUGCUCUUUGUUCUCUAAUAAGCAGUUAAGAAUGACUAAUAAUUUUGGAAUAUUUUUUAACAAGUGAAUAUAACAAUGCUUAACAAUAUUUCAUUGUUGUGUGUCUGAAGCACUGCUUAUUAUUGGUAUUGUUUAGUAAAGAUAUGUAACUGGCCUCCCAUGGAGACAAAAUGCAGUGCUUUAUGAAUAGAAUAAUACAUACCUUGAAUUAAAUAUUUAAUUUUUUAAAAGGAGUUAUAUUUUUAACACUCAUUUUAUUUAUUUAAUUUAAUGUAUGCUUUAUUUAUCAUUUAACACAAUUUAACAUGUUUAUUUUCAUUAAAUGUAUUCAUCGUUUAUCAGAGUUGGGGUCCAUUCCGUUUUUCAAUUCCAAUUCCAAUUCAAUCUGAUCAAUUCCAAUUCCAGUCCAUGAAACAAUACUAGAAUUGUGUAGUUAAGCAUAAUAACUCACAUUCAUUUGAUGUGUACAUCUUUAUUGUUUUAUUACAACUGUUCAUAACAAAGAAAUAUUGAUUUUUGAAGUUGUGUUAGUAGUACAGGUUAUUGUAUACAAUAUAAUGUACGCCUGUAUAUCCAAGUAAUAUGAGGAAAAAAGACAAUGUUCUUUACAGAUGUAUAAUACUGUGCAUGUGAUAUUACCUAUAAAAUACAGCAUCGACAUAACAGUUUAUGUUAUAAUCUUUUUUUUUCAUUCAGCAUUUGUAUUCAAACAUGAACAUUAUUGUGGUUACACCAGAUAAUCAUAAGUUCUUCACAUUUCCGAUCACUUGGAUGACACCAUUCUGGCCUGAAUACUUUGCCUGCCACACUAAAAAGUCUCUCGACAGGUGCUGAAGAGGCAGGUGAGGUGAGAUAUUUGCUGGCUAAGAUAGGAAACUUGUUCUGGUUUUCCUUCCAGUAUGCUAGAGGAUUAGCAUCUUCUGACAAGCAUGGUUGGCUCAAGUAAUUAGUGAGCUCAUCAGAAGCAGUUGUGCUUGAUGGGGUUGGUGUGGAGUGGGUAGUCAUCUAUGAAAAAAGUUUUAUACGUUUCUUUGGUGGGGAUGAUGUUGAAUCCCUUGCUAUGGCAUCUACUUUUGGACACACAGAGAUGACCUUAUUGGUCAAAAGUUCUCUGAUACUGUUCACCAGUUCACCCAUGCACCAAUCCAGUUUGAAACGUGGGUCCAGAGUGGCAGCCAUCUGGAAACACUCCAUGUCCUUAAACUUGGCAAGGCAUUUCUAAAGGGAAGAUUGCAUGGUUACCACAAACUUGCUGUUGUAGGUUUCCCGUAGACCCUGAACACACGCAGUGACAUAACUGGUAGUGACUACCUGAUCUCCCUGGCACUUGACGGUGCCUUCCUCAAAGGGCUCCAGUUUUUCACACAGUUCCCCUAUGAGUUUCAGUUCAUAAGACGUUAACUUACACGUGGCAUGAAGCUCAGACAGAACUUCUGCAGGGACUCGCAGGAUGGAACUCAUCAUCUUCAAUUGGCUAUUCCACCUAGUGGCAUUUGCAAUCUGCAGUUUGAAAUGUCCUUCUGGGACCUCAGUGGCUUUGGUGGAAUUGUGGUAAAAUCAUUCGAGUCUGGAAACCUUUGCUAUCACUGCCUUUAUAGGGCCAGUCUGUUCCAGGGCAUCACGGACAACAAGUUGUAGAGUGUGAGCAAAGCAGGGGCUCUGUUCAAGUGGAAAAUAAUCCAACUCCUCACUUACAUCGACCAAAUCAACAACGUCGGUUGACACAUCCUGAUCUGUGUCACUGUCCUGGACAUCCGAUGGUGGGAACAUGGUGAACACCUUCAGCAUGUUGGCAGCAUUAUCAGCUACUAUGCUAGAUAUCUUGUUUGCUAUGUUGUAGCAUGUCAUUAUCUCCUCAUACAUUCUGAAGAUUUCUGCAGUGUGUUUACCCUUAAAACGCCGACAGGUCAACAUGAUACUUUGUAGUGCGUAAUCCUGAAUGAAGUGGCCUGUGAUCCAGAAAAAUGACCUCAUGUCCCUGCUCGACCACAGAUCUAUGGUUAGGCAGAUGUCUUGGGCUUGCUGCAUUUGACUCCUCAGGUGAUCUAGGAUGCUGGCAGUGUGCUGAGGAAUAAGUGUCUGGCUGAUGUGUUUCCUAAUUGGAAUUGUCCAAAAAAUUCCAGUUCCAUUCGGAAUUGACCCCAACUCUGUCGUUUGAGCGUAUUUGUUUUUAGGACAUUCCAAUUUGUGUUGUAUAAUAAUUAGGGUUAUUAUUUUCACAUUGUUUAUUAAGCAUGUCAAAUGUCUAUACUGUAGCUGCAGCAUUUGGGUUUGAGAUCUUACUAGCCUGCCUCUAUUCUCAUGGAGCAAAGGAGGCUAUUCCACUGUCUGCUCUUCCUGUAGCCAGUGAGAAUUGUAGAUUAUAUAUUUCAAAACAAUUGAUGGGGGGAAUGAAGUAAAAUGUUAAGUAUUUCUGAGACAUGUGAGGUGUAGGCAUUCUCAACCAAUUAGCUGAACUGCAAAAAAAAAAAAGGAUUUUGUGAAUGUUGUCCAGUCUGCUGAAUGCUUCAGUCUAGUUUGCUUUAACACCACACCCCCCCAGCCCCGCUUUUAAGAACAACAUUUUAUAUUGUAACCCAAAUUGAUACCCUCGUUUUCUACAGGUCAUCCUGUAAUUGCAUUGUUUACCAGCUUUCUUGCCUGUUCUGCAAAAACACCUGUUGUGUUUAUUGCAGAGCUUGUUUUGUAGCAGUAAAUGUAAGUAUCAGUUUAGAUAAGAUACUGUAUGAAUGAAUGGGGAUAACAAAUAUACCUUCGGUAAACUACACAAGUUAUAAAGACAACAUGAAAAAGUUAAAAGCAGUUUGUACUGUGAUUACUUCAGGGUUGACAUUAAUGCUAAGAGGAGAUGGAGGGAGUCCAGAGCUGUCAAAAAACUUGUGUUCUACAGAUCAGAGCUGUCCAAAAUUUUCAAUAAAAGAGUCUGCUUACUAAUGACCAGGGAGUUCUUAAAAAGCCAUACAAUACUAACAGAAAAAAGAAAGACUGUAACGUAAAUCUAAGUUUAAUUUGCUAAAAACUAGUAGCUGACCAAAUAUUAGUGAAGACAUUUUAAAAAAACAGAUCCAGAAAAAGGUUUUUGCCACCUGACUGCAAAAAACAACAUUUUAGCAUGUUUGUGCUCAUUAAACGUGUGUCAUAUUUAUACGCAGGACCAGUUAAUUUGCAUGGACUGUGCUCUCUUCUAGAAUUCUUUGCCACUGUGGUCAUGUAAACAUAGCCCAAUGUUUUCUAGUAUAUAUAUAUAUAUAUAUAUAUAUAUAUAUAGUCAAGAAUUUUUCGCAACGUACUCUUUUUAUUUAUAUAUAUGCUCUGAGCACAUUCUUAUACUCAGGGGAGUCGUUCAGGAGGACAUGAAGAUGUUUAAAACUCCUGUAGUGGAUUGUUCAUGCACUGGGCUUGCAACAUGUCCAGAUGACUUUUUAAUAAUCAAGAAAAUCACACAGACUCAUUUAAUUUGAAGUUUUAACGAAUCAGAGCAGUAAUUGUGCUCUUUUCGGUUUAUUAAAUGCUUAUGUUAAAAAUUGGAUUGGUUGGUUGCGCAGACCACCAUAAAUCCCAAGUAAAAAGCAGUCUGGGCGAUCCUGUGCUUUACAGGUUUACAGCAUUAAUACUUCAAUACAGUGAUACGAAUAUGGUUAUCAUAUAUUUAGCUCUUAGGCUAUAAAAUGCAAAAAGCUAAAAACGCCCACCGCUAAAUUUUAGAACAUUCAAUAUAUAUCAUCACUCUCUUAAGACUAAAACAUAAUUUCUAUACCUUAUAGCAAUGCAUCAAUAUAAAAGAGAUAUUAAAUUCAAAUAUAUGCUUACCUUCCAGUAUAUGGAAGUGUAGUGUAGGAUAUAUUGACAAAUAAGAACUGUCUUCAAAAGGCAGAGACUUGUGAAUACGACUAAACAGCAAUCAGUUUUUCAGAGAUCCUCAGGGCAUGGAUCACAUCAGCUUGUAGUUAGCAAGUUGAGCGAUACUUGACUGGGGUUUUACCUUGGUUUUUAUAGGAUUUUCCCUCCAUUGAAUACAUCAGGUCCCAAGUAAAUCUAAUCAUCACUCGGCCUUGACAUUUCUUAUCUUUAAGUUAAUGAUACAUUCUAGAAGGAUCUGGUCAACUCAUUUUUCAAAACUGAUUGAAUAUAACUUCUUGCCAAAAAUAUUGAAACAUGAUUUCAUCGCUCUCUUUUUCCAACUCCUCCUUUUACUGAAAAGUCAGGUGGACCAAAGUUCACAGAAUCCUUGCUACCAAAUACAAUACACAUAUAUGUGUACAUAUGAGAGAUGUUUUUAAUAUGUAAAACCAGCUUUAUUUGAUUAUAUUUAGCUAAAAUUAUAUUAUUAUUUAGUCAAAAAUUAUAUGUCCCUCUUAGCCGCAUAUUACAUUACCUUUUCAGUGUGUUGUGAAUGGGUCAGUUUAACUUCAUAUACAAAUGUGUGUUAACAAAGUUUUUGACAAAGACUGCCUUUGAAUAAGCAUACAGUGGUCAGUUCAAUUAGUUUAAUUUAAAUUUAAGCUAUAAUAAACAUGUUAAAUAUAAUAGCCUUAUUUAACUGUUCCAUUCUUGGACCAUGCCUGACCUCUCUCUCUGUUUCUAAAAGUUGCCUGCUCAAGCAGGAUUCAGACACCGUGUUUACUUGCCAAGACUAGUGUUUUAAUUAAUAUGAAACUCCACUGUAAGCACUUUUCCAAAUUCACCACAUGAAGUAAUUUUUUGGCCGAUUCAAGAGACACCUGGACCGGUAUCUUUUCAGAUAAUACCAAAAAAAGCUUGCAUCCUAAUUUUUAUAACUCAGCUCUCAUUAUUUUCUUAUAAUAUAAUGAGAUACAUAAUCCUGUCUUUCUUAAAGCAUCUUCCGUUGGUUAUUAUUCAAGGUUGGCAAAUCCCGCUUUUAAGAGCCAACACCGAAUCCUUUUUUGAGGUGCCAAAGACUAAGCUUUAUUUUUUGAAGGUCUAAUGCCCUUCCAGAAUUCUACUGUGUAUCUGAGACAAACAUUGAAUUCUUUCACUUUACAGUUUCCCUGUAAAUAAAUACCUUUGUUUCUUACUGCAGUAAAAUCUUUAUACAAACUAAACAUGCACUGUAUAUUCUUUGGUUUAAUUUAUAUAGUAAUGUCUAAAUACUUUUUGUUUAGUUGGAGAAACUGAACUAUUUUUAAAUUGAUUAAAUGAAAUGCUCAUUAUCGUAAACGUGUCAACAAUAUGGUUGCAAUUUAUUUGUUUAUUUAGCAGAAAAAAUAUAGAAAAUGAUUAUUGUAAGAUAAACGCCUAUCUUCUGUUAUCCCAAAGGUAUUUCCGUUUGUUAAUAUUAAUGAGAUCGCUCAUUAUAGAGAUGAUCUUGGCUUUUAAAUCGCUGACCACCAAAAAUCCCAGCUUCAUCGGCCAAAACCAAUGAGUCAUCUUCAACACUGCUUUUACUACAAGCAGGUGAGAACGAGGUUACAACAUCAGUUGUAUUGCUUCAACAAGUUUACUGUUAGAGUUACAGUUUAUACUUUGAAUGAUUUUAUAACAUGUAGUUCUAAUUCAGAUAUGUCAAUAUAGCAAUCUCUUAUGAACUACAAUUCUGUUUUAUUUCAUUGAUAUACAAUAAACCUCCCUUUAGGUAUUUACCUAGGCACUUGGGAGAAAUGGUAUAUUGAGGUGAUUAGUUUUGCAAUACUUAAGAAGGUAUUGAGAAAUGUGUAUGUUGGGGGGGGGGGGAUAUUAUUUGAGCCUGGCCAAAGAUUUGCUUUUUUAAGAUGUAUCAUCACUUGUAAAUAAUAAUAAUAAUAAUAAUAAUAAUAAUAAUAAUAAUAAUAAUAAUAAAAAAAGUAUAUCUUGUUAUUUUUACUUUUGGAGAUGUUGCUGCAACUCUUAAAUAUAUGAAUAAAUAAAAGUAUUUAUUUACGUUGUUUUUAUGAUGUAUUUUGUUUCCUUGGAACUUGGGUGAAAUGCUUUAUACAGUAUAGCUUUUAGAAGUGAGAAUCUGGAAACUGCAAAGCAGGAGAGAGAAUGCUGCCUGUCCUAUUAAAUAUGUGUGUACUGUCUGAAUGAGGCUGUUUUUGUUUUCUGCAACAAAACAUGUCUGAAACUUAUUUAUGCUCAGAUUGUAGCAUAUCGCAUAUGGUUAAGCUUUAUUAUUUAUCAAAAACAAGUUAUGUAUAUAACUGAUCUAUACAGAGUAGAAAUCUAAUUUAUUGGGCAAAAUCACAGGGAAAUGUUUAAAAGACAGACCUUAUUUAUUUCAUUUUACAUGUCCACAGUUUUAUAAAAUUAAAACUGAGAGCCAAUGCUACCCACAAAUGAGUACACUAGGGGCUGCUGAGGAGCAAUUUUCUUGUCAUAUGGGUACUCAGAUUGUACAAGUGCAUUUUUGACUAAUUUACGUCUUUGUUUUUUUACCAACUGAAGUGGCCGUAGUUUUUCUUAAUGUGUGUUUUACUGUUGGAAGUGCUCUAAAUUGAGUAUGAAAAAUAAUCGUUGCAUUGAUAAAUAUUUAUUUGUUUAUUUUCGCCUUUAUCCAAGGCGACUUACAGAGACUAGGGUGUGUGAACUAUGCAUCAGCUGCAGAGUCACUUACAAUUACAUCUCACCCAAAAGACGGAGCACAAGGAGGUUAAGUAACUUGCUCAGGGUCACACAAUGAGUCCGUGGCUGAGGUGGGAUUUGAACCAGGGACCUCCUGGUUACAAGCCCUUUUCUUUAACCACUGGACCACAUAGCCUCCUUAAAUAUGUUUUUACAUAUACUCUUUUAACUUAAGUCUCGCGACCACAAGGAAACAGUUGCACAAUGUGAUGAGUCCAGCAGCAUUUGAGAAAAAUUCUACUCUGGUAAUCACUCUUCCUUGAAAUUUAAAAACAUAGUCAGGGACUCACAUGACCAGAGACUUGAAAUCGUCCUGAGCAAUAGUUGAAGCAGCCUUGUGACUGUACUGUUUAAAAUCAAAUCACAGGCAUGUCAAAAAUAAUGAAUUAAAAUGAGUCUUCAAUCAGGAGAGCUUGAUUAAUGGUUUUCAGGCCUUGAACCCUUGUAACUGUCAUCACUAUUUCUCUAUAUGCCACUACCAAAAUUCAGCACUCAUGUAGAGAAGUUACAGCAGCCCUGUAUUUUUUCGUACCUUUUUAAUGAUGUUUUUUGAAUACUACUCUUGCUUUUAUUGAUAACAACAACAAACAAAAGCAAAUUAAUGUGGUGUAAAAAAGAAUGUCGGUACAAGAGCACAUCAUUUGUUUGAAGGGCUUUGAAAUACUUUAGGUGACAAAAUAUAACAACACAUUCUUUUCAUCUCUCAUGUCCAUUAACACAACUCCGUCUAUAAUUCUUCCAGUCACAACUUCUAAUUACUAAUCACUUUAUAUAAUGAUAUUUAUAUAUAAAAUAUACACCUCUGUCCAGCUCUUCUUUUUUCUCACAGUCCAUCAUCAGUGGUGUUUUGUCAUUCUGAUUUAUAGUGGACUAGUGUUACUAACCUGCUGGUGUUCUGUCUGUUCUUGACUUGUUUAACAGUAGAUACACCCAGGGAGGCUUGAGUGAGUGGGAGGACCCUGAGGCUGCUUCUGUAGCUGAUAACAAGUCAACUUCCCGCCACUUCUAUCCUAUCGCUCUCCUGCUUGUCAGCUCCCACUUGCUGGUUGUGUGGCUAAUUUUAAGUCUGGUUUUUCUUCUUGCUAAGUAUCAAUGAAGUGCUGUUUGUCUUGUUUAAUUUAUACCUCAUAGACUGGUUUAUUUUUACCUUUCACUUUAUCCAUAUAAUCUGUCAUUUUGUACUUGUUUGGUACUGUAUAGUUCUGGGACAGAAUAACAUUUGACACAUCUUGGUUUCAGAUGGACGAAGACUAACUUGCUUAUAUGUUUUUACUAUAUCAAAUUAUUAAUAUGUAUCCAUUUCGUAUUUGUGUACACAAAAUACAGAUAUGUUCUUCUGAUUAGACAAAUGAAUGCAGUUUACACUUUGGUUAUACAUGCCAAUAAGAACAUACACCACUACAUUUUUAUGCACAUGUUACUUCCAAACACUACUAUUUAUAAUGCUUGUCUGGGGGGGAUGUAUUUAACCUCCAUUUUGGAAAAAUAUGCACCGUUUUUUUAACCAAAGUCAGAUUUAAUUUAGAAGUGUGUUUACUUUCUGAAAUUUAUUUUUAUAUUUAAUUAUUAGUUACACUAUCCUACACUUAGAUAAUUGUUUGCUUUUUUAUGUUCUGCAAUAAAGACUUUGUCAUUGUA